GUGGUGCUGAGGUGUAAAUGUGUGUGCGCUGUGUAAAUGUGGUGCAGCUGAGUAAAUGUGGUGUAAAUGUGUAAAUGUGGUGCAGCUGAGGUGUAAAUGUGGUGCAGCUAAGGUGUAAAUGUGGUGCAGCUGAGGUGUAAAUGUGGUGUAAAUGUGGUGCAGCUGAGGUGUAAAUGUGGUGCAGCUGAGGUGUAAAUGUGGUGUAAAUGUGGUGCAGCUGAGGUGUAAAUGUGUGUGCAGCUGAGGUGUAAAUGUGGUGCAGCUGAGGUGUAAAUGUGGUGCAGCUGAGGUGUAAAUGUGGUGCAGCUGAGGUGUAAAUGUGGUGCAGUGAGCGUGUAAAUGUGGUGCAGCUGUGGUGUAAAUGUGGUGUAAAUGUGGUGCAGCUGAGGUGUAAAUGUGGUGCAGCUGUGGUGUAAAUGUGGUGCAGCUGAGGUGUAAAUGUGGUGUAAAUGUGGUGCAGCUGAGGUGUAAAUGUGGUGUAGCUGAGGUGUAAAUGUGGUGCAGCUGAGGUGUAAAUGUGGUGCAGCUGAGGUGUAAAUGUGGUGCAGCUGAG
ensembl:lncRNA